GUGCCAGCAGCCGCGGUAAGACGUAGGAGGCGAGCGUUAUCCGGAUUUACUGGGCGUAAAGCGCAUGUAGGCGGCUCGUCAAGUCGUGUGUUAAAGCCCCUGGCUCAACUGGGGGAGGUCAUGCGAGACUGACGGACUUGAGGACCGUAGAGGCACGUGGAACUCCCGGUGUAGCGGUGGAAUGCGUAGAGAUCGGGAAGAACACCUGUGGCGAAGGCGACGUGCUGGGCGGUAACUGACGCUGAGAUGCGAAAGUGUGGGGAGCAAACGGGAUUAGAUACCCCGGUAGUCC
rnacentral:rRNA from 1 species